AAUUCUCAAAAGCCUUUUUCUGCUUUCGCUGGAAAGGGUUUUUGGACUUGGAGGUUCAAUGCUUGCUUCUCCUUUGAAAGCAAGCUCCUCUCAAAUGAAUUAGUGGGGUCUGCUUUGCCGAUCCUUGACGUGAUAAGAUGUUUCUACGUUUUGGAUUUGGCACUGUCCCUUUGGACGCCUGCUCCUAACUGUCCCACGGACAACGAUGGUGCUCUGGUCUUUGCCGUCUACGCUGGCGGGGGAGGCUGGACCCACGAAAGAAAA
rnacentral:misc_RNA from 1 species